GACGAACGCUGGCGGCGUGCCUAAUACAUGCAAAUCGAGCGCAGGAAACUGACGGAACUCUUCGGAGGGAAGGCAGUGGAAUGAGCGGCGGACGGGUGAGUAACACGUAAGGAACCUGCCUCAAGGAUUGGGAUAACUCCGAGAAAUCGGAGCUAAUACCGGAUAGUUCAACGGACCGCAUGGUCCGCUGAUGAAAGGCGCUCCGGCGUCACCCUGAGUUGGCCUUGCGGUGCAUUAGCUAGUUGGUGGGGUAACGGCCCACCAAGGCGACGAUGCAUAGCCGACCUGAGAGGGUGAUCGGCCACACUGGGACUGAGAUACGGCCCAGACUCCUACGGGAGGCAGCAGUAGGGAAUCUUCCACAAUGGACGAAAGUCUGAUGGAGCAACGCCGCGUGAGUGAUGAAGGUUUUCGGAUCGUAAAACUCUGUUGUAAGGGAAGAACACGUACGAGAGGAAAUGCUCGUACCUUGACGGUACCUUACGAGAAAGCCACGGCUAACUACGUGCCAGCCGCCGCUGUAACAC
rnacentral:rRNA from 1 species